rnacentral:lncRNA from 1 species
GAUUUGGUUAGGGUUUGGAUUAGGAUUUAGGGUUUGCUUAGGAUUUGUUUAGGGUUCGGUUUAGGAUUUGGAUUAGGGUUUGAUUUAGAAUUUGGAUUAGGGUUUGGAUUAGAGUUUGAUUUAAGGUUUGGUUUAGGGUUUAGGAUUUGGAUUAAGAUUUGGUUAGGGUUUGAUUUAAGGUUUGAUUUAGGGUUUAGGAUUUGAAUUAGGAUUUGGAUUAAGAUUUAGAUUAGGAUUUGGUUAGGGUUUGAUUUAAAGUUUGGUUUAGGAUUUAGGAUUUGGAUUAGAAUUUAGGAUUGGAUUAGGGUUUGGAUUAGGGUUUAGGAUUUGGUUAGGUUUUGAUUUAUGGAUUAGAUUAGGAUUUGGUUAGGAUUUGAUUUAAGGUUUGGUUUAGGGUUAAGGGUUGGAUUGGGGUUUGGUUUAGGAUUUAGGGUUGGAUUGGGGUUUGAUUUAGGGUUUGAUUUAGGAUUGGUUUAGGAUUUAGGGUUUGGAAUAGGGUUUAAUUUAAGAUUUAUUUAGGAUUCGACUUAGGGUUUAGGAAUUAUUAGGGUUUAAGAUUUAAUUAGGUUUGGUCUAAAGUUGAGUGAAAUUCAAUAGGGUUUUAACUAGAAU